UACGAGGGGGGCGAGCGUUGUUCGGAAUUAUUGGGCGUAAAGGGUGCGUAGGCGGCCUGCCAAGUCUGAUGUGAAAUCCCUGGGCUCAACCCAGGGCCUGCAUCGGAAACUGUCGGGCUUGAGUAUGGGAGAGGUGAGUGGAAUUUCCGGUGUAGCGGUGAAAUGCGUAGAUAUCGGAAGGAACACCUGUGGCGAAAGCGGCUCACUGGACCAUUACUGACGCUGAGGCACGAAAGCUAGGGGAGCAAACAGG
rnacentral:rRNA from 1 species